UCCCGAAAUGAAGGUAGACCUGAAUCCCAAACCCAACCAAUCCCACCCCCCCAGGCUGAAUGUUUCUCCAUCCUAUUGACUUUGAGGUUGAGCAUGGGACUUCCUUUGGCCAGUGGAAUAUGAGUUUUGGUCCAAGCCAAGGUCUAAAGCAUCAUCACCAGCUUGAUGCUUCUGACCUCUUUCAGGGAGAAGACAUGCUCCUGAUGACCAGACUCAGCCCAGACUCUAGAAUGAAGACACCUGGAACGCACGUCCCAGCCCAAGGCCAGGAGAUUUUUUUCCAGACGAGGCACAAGGUUCAAGACAAGGUGGUGAAAUCUGCUGACCUCUCUACCCUGGAAGGUUCCCAGUCCAGUGAGUUAACAACCCUAACAAAGGAUCCUCAAGGCUGGGCCAAGGGAAGUAAGAAGUUUUCCUGGGAAAGGCUCUCCACCUAUCAAAGGUGCCUUUGCUGUGGCACAGACCACCCAGCCCAGCUUUGCAAAGCAAUGCCUAUGCUUUGGUGUCCCUAAUGGAAUGGAAAUAUGAAGAAAGAAGUGAAAUCAGAUGCUUGAAGGGCUUGAGAGCCAACAUUUGCUGAGCACCUGCUGAAUGCCAGGCAACAUUCCAGGAAACAACUAGAACAUCUCAAAUCCUCUAAUUCUCACAGAUUCUACAAGAAUCACCUCUAUUGUACAGGUAGGAAGCCUGAGGUUCUAAGAGGUUAAAAUACUUGCUCAUGAGGAAGGGGUGAAGUAGAAUGUACAUCUGGCAGCAUGGUGCCAAAGCUCUAGAUUCGUUUAUUUCAAAAGAAGAUGACUUAAUCAUUUUAAUGAAACUGAUGGAAGUGAUAUGCCCAGGGCUCUGCUGUCUUCCUUCUCAAAACUGUCUCCACUCCACCAUUCCAUGACUACACUUAGUCUCUUUGGGCUCCUUGCAGCCGUAUAGGAAGCCUGCUUGGCUUGCAGCAUCCUCCUGCCACGUUACCUCCACCUCUGCUGAGAAGUUCCACUGCACAGACAAGCCCUCAGGCAGUGCGAGAGGUCGGCAACCCAGGAGCCAAACACUGUCCUCCAAUAACCCAUUUCUCCGGGUACAGCACUGGCAUGGGAACAAGUGCUAAUUAUUCCGCUUCCAGCAUCCUUCAGAAACAGCAGGGACCAUGCUGGAAACCGGCCAGGGCAGCCUGAUCAGCUCCACAGCUACAGAAGUUCCUUCUUAGAGGAAGUCACUGGGGGCGGGGGUGGACGCCUGUUCGUGGAGGGGCAGUGGGACUGAAGCCUGGAAACCAGGCUUCAAGGGGCAUGUCCAUCGGUCUCUCUGGUUCCCUUUCCUCUCUCUCUGCUUUUUUCUCUUUGUUUCCUCCUUUCCCU
rnacentral:lncRNA from 9 species